CAUUUGGCUCUGGACACUUGAGCAACUGAGUGUCUGACACAUGUACAGAGCCCACAAGCUGCCAUGAGCUAUUUCUACAUGUAACUAGGUGACUACGCCUUGCAGCUUCCCCUACGUUAUAGGCUUUUUAACUUCAUUAUGUGAUCAGGCAUGUUGCCAACUUUGAAGGCCAUUCCACGCAUCUGAGUGAUCUGGCUUGCCGUCCAGGUGAUUUAAGUGCCAAUCUUGAUAAAGGUCCGCAUAAGGACCGAAACGUCGAUGAAAUACGGCAUCAACAGUGAACCCGAAUAAAAAUAUACUGAAUUUACAAGUGACUUCAGAGACUAAUUUCUGGGCGUGAGUGCACCUUCCACCUAGGUGGUUGUUGUGGUAUAUUGGUGGCCUCUCAGGUCAUUAGGAGCACCCGCCGUCGUUAUUACUUUUGAUGAGAGUGCAGGAUCUUCCAAGACUAUAUAUAUAUAAAGAUAUUUGCGGACUGGUACUCCUCCCUCAUGGUCCAAUCGUGCUCCGGUGCCCUCUGAAUGAACUUUAAAAAAGAAGCAUUGUAUAACAAAGCAGCGGCACUCGGAGACUGUCAAUGUCCAAAAAGUAUUUAACAAGAAACUUUUAUAUACACACACUAUUGCACUGUAUACGUAUGGAAAUAUGAUCAGCUUUAUGAAGAGGCUUACACUAUUUUCAACCUAAAUGACAGUUGCCUAAAGCAGGCCAUGUGAUCUUCUUUUCUGGUGACAAUUACCCUGUGACUUUUCAGCUGUGUAAAACACCAUCUCCCAAAAUACUAUGUAGUGGUGGGAGUUUUGUAAUUUAACAGCAGCUGUGGAUUGCAAAUGUCAUAGACACUGUUAAAAUAUCUUAUUGAUAUUCAUGAAAAAUUCAAAAGUAACCUUCUAUAAUUCAAGCUGUUGUGUUCAUAUUCUUUCCAUUUCAGAUUUAUGAACUAUACAGUAAAUCUUAACAAAUACUGUACAAUGUAAAUGUAUUGCUUUAUGAUAAUAUUUACACAAUACAUUAGUCCCUACUCCAGUAGAGUUUACAAUCCAUUUCUCUACCACAUGAACAAACUAGGAUUAAAGUCGUCAGAAGCCAAUGAACUUAUUAGUAUAUGUUUGGAGUUGGGAGAAACUGAAGCACCCAAAGGAAUCUUAAGGAGAGCUAAAUAACCUAAAAUAGAUAGGGCCAGGGUCGGAACUAAUCCCAUUAUUCCAGUGGAAUAAUACUAACCACUGUGCCAUAAAGUUGUACAAUAUAGGGGCUAAUUAGAUUUACAAGCAAUCCUGCCCCUGGGUGCACCUGAAAAAAUCAGUUUUUGCUGUAGGGAGUAAAAAGUGUUGUAAAACACCCAUUAUGUUCAUUAUUAAUUGUUUGACACUUGGUAAAUUGGUGUUAGAUUGACUUUCUUUAGCACAGGUAUGGAGUUGUAAUAUAUCUAAUUUAUUGUUGCUGGAGGGGUCAUAGCCAUACCUCCGAAUACCAGAGGUCUCCAAAGCAGGCCAUGGCAUGGGCAUAGCAUGCUGGAUAGGUUUUCACAAAAUGUUGCAUUUUUUUGUGCUUCAGUAGCAUGCGGCAGAGGAGAACCUCUCAAUCCCCCAACCAUCGGGACAAAUAUCCUGAUUGCACAAAGAUGAGCCAGUCCUCCAAAACUGGGAGGCCGCAUGCUUGAUGACGCAAUUUGCUGUGAUUUGCGUUGUCAGUCCCCUCCUCUGCUGUAUAAAGUUCUUACUCCUUGUGUGGCGCAAUACUGGGCUACACAGUGAUACAGAUCACAAUGACACUCCAUGCUUAAUAUCUCACUUAACCCCUAGAGACGUCCUGGAUUGGAGGCACACAGUCUUAGCAAGUAUGCCUAAGCACCUUAAAAAACAAUUCACAAGUGGGAUAUAACUGUUUGUGACCAGCAGCUUACAUUACAUUUGCACGGUUAGGCUUCAAUUAUGUAUAAUGAUUGUAAACCAUUCAAUUUUAUUGAAAUAAUGACAUGGAGAACUAGUAUUACAGCACAAUGUGGAGUAGAGCUCCUUACCCAAUGGUGUUAGAAAUCCUAAAAGUACCCUCUGCCCCCUUGUGCUUCCACCUGAGGUCAGUAAUGGCAAUGAUGCUGCAUCCUCUUUAAGCUUGGUUGCUCCCAAGGGUGUCCCAAUGGAAUGCCCCCCAUUAAUUCCCCACCUCAUCCACAAAAACAAGCUUUGUUUACCACAACAUAAUACCACACACUAGAUUCAGGUACAGUAGUUAUACUUACUUUAUAAUCAGCACAUAGUUUAUACAUGUCCCAGCGAGGUGCUGAUACUAACC